CGGCGCGUUUUAAGCAUGCAAGUCGAGCGGCAAGGGCCUUCCGGGCCCCUAGAGCGGCGGACGGGUGAGUAACACGUGGACAAUCUCGCCCCCCGGCCCGGGAUAGCCCAGGGAAACCUGGAUUAAUACCGGAUGAGACGGGACCCGCGAUGGCGGGACCCGGGAAAGGCGCUGCGGCGCCGCCGGGGGAUGAGUCUGCGUCCCAUUAGCUAGACGGCGGGGUAACGGCCCACCGUGGCGACGAUGGGUAGCCGGCCUGAGAGGGUGGACGGCCACAUUGGAACUGAGACACGGUCCAGACUCCUACGGGAGGCAGCAGCUAAGAAUCUUCCGCAAUGGGCGAAAGCCUGACGGAAGCGACGCCGCGUGAACGAAGAAGGCCGUGAGGUUGUAAAGUUCUUUUCGGGAGGGGGAACAACCGUGGCAGGGAAUGGCCGCGGGAUGACGUGAAUCCCGGAAUAAGCCCCGGCUAACUACGUGCCAGCCGCCGC
rnacentral:rRNA from 1 species